CUCCCUCGGUGACGUGCAAUUGGUUGAUGCACAGCGUCAUUUUUGGUGUGCCGUUUUCGAACGAGGACCCGCCUGAUUUGACACAGGGCACCCAACAUGCCAGAGCACCAGCUGCGGGGCUCCCGCCAACCCCCGGCCGCCUCUGCCCUACAGCCACGCGUGGGGCACACCGAUUUGGAGGGCUGACCGUCGCCCACCGGGCUGCUGUCAGACUUGGAGACUUCGUAAGAUGAUGUCACAUAUACCAGCAACAGUGACAGUUUUAUUUCAGUGUCUGGGCUCAUCCCUUGGACAGAUUCAAGCCGACAUUCCAAUAGGAAGAAAGCUUUGUAAGGUCUCACUAUGGGCCUUACCUUCCUUCUCUGGUUUGCUGGCUGCACCAGAGGCAGAAAUACCCGCAGGCUGACCAGCUGGCUAGCACUAGACUGCCUUGCUAGAAACAAUAACUUCUCAAUGUUUAACAGAAAAGAAAGUUCACUGUAUGGAGUUGUUAAAUUGAACCCUGGAGCCCAGCGCAGACCCAAACCUUUCAACUUCUUGAAAAUGACGUCCAUCUAGUGGGCAGAGCUCGAUAUUACAGCAGCAAACAACAACGGCUUCUCUAAAAGAUGCUUACCUACAUCCUGAUGAGGCUGCUGGCAUUUUCUUCAAGUUCAAAAUGUGGACUUUGGCUCAUUCUAUGCUGAUAAAUUUACCACCAGAGAACAAGUGGAAAUUUUGGAGAAGAAUGAUCGAUCACUGUCUGAGACAUCUAAACCAUAUAAAUGAAUUAAAGGCGCAGUUCUGCAAUCCCUCUCCAUUUGCUUCAGGGGACAUUACACCAGGAAGACUCCUGAGAGACUUAAAUUAAUCCUUUUGCUUGUGUGCACUAGAUCUUGCUGACGAGGAGAUGUACAACUGGCAUAUGUAAUAGUCCCGUGUACCUGAACUGUGUUUAAAAAUAGGAACCCUGUGAAACAGAAAGAUAAAAUCUUGAAUUAGUAUGAUUAACAAACAGGUUUUCAUAUCAAUUUUAUUUAUGAAGAGUAAUUGAGAGUAUCCCAAAUCCCUUGUCACCUUGACUACCGUAACCCAUGGAAGUAAUCAUAGGUCAGAGAACAAGAAAUAAAUCGCAAAACCCUUUUGAAAAUGUCAUGGGAUUUUGAGACCAUCUAAUCAAAAUUAUUCAAAAGCAAAGUGUUUUGCAGCACCAAAGCAAAGUGUUGGAUGGCCAGAAAUGGGAAUCCUGCUGCAUUCCACAUCAUGUCAGCAUGGAAGGGUAGCACUCUUGCUGCCUAUAUGCUGCAGUCAUCUACUCUCCCUGGAGCCUCUCUUUACCAAUGCUGCCUGAGUGAAGCGAGUUGACUGAUAGACCCAUGUCUCUGAAUCCCAGCCAACAUCUACUUCAGUUGUUUAACAGAAAGGCCGCGACCACUGUGCAACUGGAAAGUGGUUGCAAGUCUUGCUUUGAUGGCCUCUGAGCACUGGGUGUCCUGCUGUGCAUGCUCUUUUUCUCCUUCAAGUACCCGUAUCAGGCUAAUUAAUUACCCAGUGAGCUGUGUUGCCCUUAAUGCUUUGCAGAAUGAGUAGGGCAGCAUUCCCAACCAUUAACUUCUCUUAAAAAUUGAUGUUUGCAAUUUGACAGGACGUUUUCUUCUUGUGAUAUGUUUUGUACACUUGUUACAACAGAGAAGUUCCACUGAAAUGGAAUACCUCUAGCAAGAAGCUUCAGGGUUACCAACUCAGCAAUUCUGCAUGAAAAACACACGUUCUCAACAAGUUUUGAUUCAAACAGACUUUUAAAGCUGCUUUAAACAGAGAAAGUCAAUGAAACCCUACUCAGGCUGUUAUUUGGACAAUUCAAAAGCAUAAUAAACAGUGAGA